rnacentral:rRNA from 1 species
AGUGAACGCUGGCGGUAGGCCUAACACAUGCAAGUCGAACGGCAGCACAGUAAGAGCUUGCUCUUACGGGUGGCGAGUGGCGGACGGGUGAGGAAUACAUCGGAAUCUACUUUUUCGUGGGGGAUAACGUAGGGAAACUUACGCUAAUACCGCAUACGACCUACGGGUGAAAGCAGGGGAUCUUCGGACCUUGCGCGAUUGAAUGAGCCGAUGUCGGAUUAGCUAGUUGGCGGGGUAAAGGCCCACCAAGGCGACGAUCCGCAGCUGGUCUGAGAGGAUGAUCAGCCACACUGGAACUGAGACACGGUCCAGACUCCUACGGGAGGCAGCAGUGGGGAAUAUUGGACAAUGGGCGCAAGCCUGAUCCAGCCAUACCGCGUGGGUGAAGAAGGCCUUCGGGUUGUAAAGCCCUUUUGUUGGGAAAGAAAAGCAGCAGGUUAAUACCCUGCUGUUCUGACGGUACCCAAAGAAUAAGCACCGGCUAACUUCGUG